UAUAAACAGAAACCGCCAGUUCUUAUUCGUGCUUGUACUCUACCUUGCUGUUGAAGAAUGAAGCAUACUUCCUUGCAGAGCUUACAGCCGAAUCAAUUCUGUUUGUUUUUUUCAUGUGUCGUGACAAGCGAAAUGGUUUUCGAACAUUAACUUUGGGCUCAGUAAACCUGCGUGUCGGUUUCUGCUGUUACAUUUUUCGUGGUAUAACUGAUCAAUGCCGAUUGUGCUGUCGUCAACUGUUUCAUGUAUUAUAAAUAAAGAACCUGACCAACUGGUCUCAACGAAUUGAAAAUUCAAAGAUUUCUCUUAAACGUAUGCUACUUGGAAUUCAUGAAAAGAAAAUCGAUGCGCGGGUAUGUAUUGGACGGAUUUAGACCUUAAACAAUGUCUACUCAAACAUUUCCCUUGCAGACUCGCAAAUAUUCGCAAACAGGAGUUGGUGUAUUAAUUAUUUAAUUUUCACGUCACUCGGUCAUCUCUAUACCCUCGGUGCUGUGCAGGAAAAAUGGCUAAAUUGGAGUUUCAGCACAGAAAUUUGCAGUUAAACUGAACGGCUAUGUGUACACUGUACACACACAAUUGCUCUCAAAGUAAAUAUAGCCUCGUCGUAUUUCUGAACGACAAAGCUACAAAACCUGUCAAAAUGUCAUUGAAAGUAUGGAAAUUUAAUCAAGAUGAUGGCUUCAAUUUCAUAUCUGGGGGCCCAUUUAUUCACGUGCGUAACACGAGAGAAAAAAUUCAAUUUACAAGGAACAAAGCUUCGAAUCGACUCAUUUUUCACCGACUAUUUCGCAUGCAGUUUGGCUGCUGUUUGAAUUUGAAUUUUCAAUCGAUCAAAACUCGGUAGGACGAAGGAACUUAAUCCAUUUACCGCGAAGUACCCGAAAAUGUUCUUCGCAUCCAUUCUGCAAUUAUCUUUGGCGUUUCGAAAAUAUUCACCUGUAAACUAAUUAAGCAAUCCUUCCUUUACAGUGUUUUCAGCCAAAUGUCGCCCUACGUCUAUAACUAUAUUGAUGUAACCUACUUACAACAACUUGGUGUAGCCUACGGUAAAUACGCUUCAAAUGUUCUAAAAUAACUUGGACCGGGAAACAAGAGAAACGGAUGCAACGUUGGUAAUAAGUGAAUAGCAACCGACGUGUUGUCAGGAUACCAAAGCGUCGACGGGUAUGUUUUCUUAUGUCACAAAUCGAUUGAUUUUAAUUUGAAAGGUGAAGCACAUAUAUUUUUUUUCUUGCGCAAUAUGCUAGAUCAAUCAACCGGGAUUUAAUUUGAAUAACAUUCGCAAUUAAUUUUAAUAGGAAAACAAGUUGGCUAGUAUAUUAUACCGCCGCCAUGCCCAAGAUCAAAUAUCCGAUUAGUAAGUUAUAUCGCUAACAUAUAAUAACGCCCUCGGUUGUUUCAAAUUUCAGCACGACGUACGGUAAUAUAACGUAUGCAUAUAGAAUUCAUCAUUUAUUUUAUUCAUAAGUCAAAUCCCAUAUGCCCCGCCAUGCAGUAUAAGCUAUAUAACUUGUUACCUGCUAUAUGGUAGUAGCCCAGACCUUUCUAUACCGCACAGCUAAUAAUAAGACGAGAAAAUCAGUAUUCAGAACGUGACGAUGCGAGGCUGGAAUGUCACCCCCUGUACUCCCCUGUAUAUAACACGCGCCUGUUUGAAACCUAAUUACAUGGAAGCCUCGCCAACUUGCAUCAGAUGUGAAAUGGUAGGAGAUGUUCCUAGCAUCGAAAUCAUCGAAUUUUCACAAUUCUCUUCUUUAUGUCUAAUUCGCCAUCCAUUUAUGCGAUCGUUCUAAGAACUAAGCCUCGCAUAAUACACGAGGCCAUGCUGCAUAAUAUAUAUAGUAGUUGGAAGUCCCUGAAAAGAAAUGUUCGCAUCAAACUCGGGAGUAAACCAAAACCAUCAGUACAGUCAAAUCCCCCACCAAAACGUCCGGGUGUAUCAUCGAUUAUUACAUCGGUAAGCCAAAAGGGCCACUCCCUUUUCGACGAAGCGGAAUACUAUAUAGGUUAUAGGUAGCUCAUUUCCAAAAGUAGCUCAGUUCUCUGAAUCCUUAAUGAGGAGGCCCCCUUGACGGUUAGAUCUAUACAAUGGUCGGCCGCAAAUUUUCAACUUGAAUAUUCCGGUAGAUAUUAUACACAUCUAAUACCCAGUUAUGUAA